AGCUAGUAAUUUUCAAGAAUUGAUCAGAUAAGACCUAAUCACUGAUUCAAAAUCAUCCUAUCUUGCAGGAUUUCAAGAGUUGUGGAUAUUUACUUUAAUACCUCAUGGGCUUGAUCUGUAAUAUUCCAGUUUACUCGAAUUUUUACAACGACGGCUUUCACACUAUCGUCUUUCUUGAGGUCAAUAUUAUUUUCUUUUUCUCUUUUUUUUCUUUUUUUCUCUUUUUUAUUUAUAUUUUUUUUUGUAUUUAUAAAUAAAUUAUGCACUUUUACUCUUGUAAUGAUUCCUCCAUGUAGCGAGCAUUCAGUCAACACUCCCACACCAGAUGGCAUAAGGUGUUAGGCAUCAAGACUCCCCUACGAACCUAUGCUCGGAUUCCUCAUACAAGCCCGCUGACCUUUGACAAUAGGUAGCCCUUUUCGAUGUACCUGACUAAAUUCACUUUUUUUUAAAUAAAUAUGGGAUAAUAGUGAAUUAGAUAGGUAUGAUUCAUCAGGACUCAAGGUUGCUACCAGAUUUAACAACAUAAUGUUGAACCUAACCAUUAGAAGUGUAGGCCAUGUGUGUUGUGAAAUUCCAAAGUAAAAAUUAUCUUACAACUCACUAAAAGAACUUUUAAUGAAAAGAACUCAAAUUGUCUUACUCCUGACUAAUCAUUGGGCGUUUAGAUUUUAUAUACUUUGUGUAUUUAUUAUUUCAGCACUAAGGCAUAGAAAUUAGGUUUCUUUUUUUUUGAGAUAAACUUAUUUAAAAAUACGAAAAUGUAAAAAAUUUCUUCAAAAAUUCGAAUCCUAUACCCCCCAACCUAGACUAGACAUUGUCCUCAAUGUUUUUUUUUAUUUUUGUAUUAUUUUUUUAAUAAUAU
rnacentral:lncRNA from 1 species